UACGAAGGGGGCUAGCGUUGCUCGGAAUCACUGGGCGUAAAGCGCACGUAGGCGGACUCUUAAGUCGGGGGUGAAAUCCUGGAGCUCAACUCCAGAACUGCCUUCGAUACUGAGAGUCUUCGAGUUCGGGAGAGGUGAGUGGAACUGCGAGUGUAGAGGUGAAAUUCGUAGAUAUUCGCAAGAACACCAGUGGCGAAGGCGGCUCACUGGCCCGAUACUGACGCUGAGGUGCGAAAGCGUGUGGAGCAAACAGG
rnacentral:rRNA from 1 species